GAAAUGCGAUAAGUAAUGUGAAUUGCAGAAUUCAGUGAAUCAUCGAAUCUUUGAACGCACAUUGCGCCCCUUGGUAUUCCGGGGGGCAUGCCUGUUCGAGCGUCAUUUCAACCCUCAAGCACAGCUUGGUCUUGGGCCCUGCCGGCAACGGCUGGCCUUAAAACUAGUGGCGGCGCCCUCGAGCUCUACGCGUAGUAAUAAACCCCUCGCGUGUGAGUCUCGGCGGCUGCUGGCCAGCAACCCCCAAUUUUCUAUGGUUGACCUCGGAUCAGGUAGGGAUACCCGCUGAACUUAA
rnacentral:misc_RNA from 1 species